AGAGCCGCACCCCUAUUUCAUCUCCCAACUGCUUCCCGACGGCGGCGGCGCUCCAGCUCCGGCGUCACAGCGGCGUGAUCUCGGCGGUGAGCCGGUGACCAUGGGUGGCGACUGCGACGGCCCGUCGACCCCGUCUUUGGACUGAGGGUUUCAGAAUAAUUGACCCAUCCAUGACGUACGCAACAUGGCGAGAUGAGAGAGCCGUUUGUUCAGCACGGCAGAAGCUCGACCAAGGUGAAUAAUAUAAGUUGUACAACAAUAAUGGCUGCAGUUUUUUUUUUCUGAAAUUUGACUAAUAAGAAGUUCAUGCCGUGGUGUUUGAUUUGGAUAUUAUUUUUCUGAAUGACGAACAACUGUAUUUGAUA